AUUGAACGCUGGCGGCAGGCCUAACACAUGCAAGUCGAACGAGUGGCGGACGGGUGAGUAAUGUCUGGGAAACUGCCCGAUGGAGGGGGAUAACUACUGGAAACGGUAGCUAAUACCGCAUACCAUCGGAUGUGCCCAGAUGGGAUUAGGUUGUAGGUGAGGUAACGGCUCACCUAGGCGACGCUCCCUAGCUGGUCUGAGAUAAUGACCAGUCACAUGGGAACAUAUACACUGUCCAGACUCCUCCGGUAGGCAGCGUGGGGGUAUAUGGGACAAGGGGCGCAAGCCUGAUGCAGCCAUGCCUGGGUGAGGAAGAAGGCCUUCGGGUUGUAAAGUACUUUCAGCGGGGAGGGGUGAACCGCAGAAGAAUCACCGGCUAUCUCCGUGCCAGCAGACGCGGUAAUUC
rnacentral:rRNA from 1 species